rnacentral:rRNA from 1 species
AAUCAACGCUGGCGGCGUGCCUCAGACAUGCAAGUCGAACGAUUAAAGCUCUCUUCGGAGAGUGUAUAGAGUGGCGCACGGGUGAGUAACACGUAAGUAAUCUACCUUCGAGUGGGGAAUAACGUCCGGAAACGGACGCUAAUACCGCAUAAUGCAGCGGCAUCGCAAGAUGACAGUUGUUAAAGAUUUAUCGCUUGAAGAGGAGCUUGCGGCAGAUAGCUAGUUGGUAAGGUAAUGGCUUACCAAGGCUACGAUCUGUAACCGGUCUAAGAGGACGGUCGGUCACACUGACACUGAAUAACGGGUCAGACUCCUACGGGAGGCAGCAGUCGGGAAUUUUGGGCAAUGGGCGAAAGCCUGACCCAGCAACGCCGCGU